AGAGAGGAGGGAGAGAAAUGGAGGGCUAGGGUUGGAGAAGGGUUGGAGUGCCUCUUAUGUCUCUCGGGAGACGUGCUAGGGUCGUCUGAUGGAGGAGGGAGAAUGAUCUGAGGGAGGAGCUCAGUUCGUACAGAGAUGACAUCGGGAGGAGGAAGACGAUCUCGGAGCUGGGCCGACCGAAUGGCUACUAGGCCUAAAAGGGUUGGUGUGCUCUCUCUUCACUUAAAACCGAAAUAAAACACUCUGUCUUUAUUUUAUUAACUAGACAACCACACAAAUCCUACAGAAUAUAAGAA
rnacentral:lncRNA from 1 species